ensembl:lncRNA
CGGUCACAGUGAAUAAAGCAAAAGGGAUCUGAAAUUGUUGAAUUUUUCUUGACUAUAUGAGUUUAGUCAUAUGAAAACUCAGAAUUUACAAAGUUCUCUCUUCUGCAUUAAAAAAAAGAAAAACACAACAAAUGAUGGAUAAAGUUUUACUGCAGUUUGUAACAAAAUAUUUACAUAAAAACACAAUACUAAAAUGCUAAGAUGAUAAAAAGAAAUCGUGUUUAGAUAUGAAAUAUUUGACUAUUUCCGCUGAUUCUGGUCAGUUCUUUAUUUGUCAGUCAUAUUGCAAAUGAUGCCACCCUGUGGUGAAUUUGCCAAACUACAAUUGUCAGUGUUGAAAAAUGUGAUAUAAUAUUAUUGUACUCCUGCGUAGACUGUCUCAACUGUGUCUGCUGACACAUGUGAACUGUUGGUAUUCUGUUUAGAGUCGUGCAUUUUAACAGUUGAAUAAAGACCACUUUCCCUCCGUAUGUAGGUGCUGUACGGCUCAAUGUCCUCUGACCCCUGCAGAAGCAAAUAUGUUUAAAACAUUAAGGUUACAUAAACAAUAUAAAUGACUAAAAAGUUACAUCUUUUGCUCAGUACCGUGUUUUGAGGUCUAGGAGAUGGUUUUCUGUAAGAGAAACACAAAAACAAACAUGAUUUUGAUCAUCAGUCGCUGCAUCAUGUAGCUCGUUUUAAUGGGGGCAACAGGAAAUGAAAGUCACUGUGUUCCUUCAAUGGCUCAUAUGAAACUUGAAGAAAAGAAAUUGUUUAUAGCAGUGGUGCACUUCCAUUAAUACGAUAAAUACAUCUGAUAAAUUAUUAGCAGGCAGCUAAUUGACUUUAAUCUACUUAAACAUGAGAACAGUAGGGCAAGGUCGUGCUGAAGAAGAUGUUAAGUCAAAAUGAACUUAAGCUAAAGUGGAUUAACCAAAAUGAAAAGAGCAAAGAGAAUCACAUGUUUUAAAGUUAUGAAGUGUGUUAAAAGGUAAAUCAUGAAACAUAUGAAACACAGCUGUGACAGUGGUUUCUCACCUCUGGUGCAGUCGUGCGUGAAUAAAUCCAAAGAUAACUAAACUCACAAUGAUGAACACGGUUACAGAAAUCAGUGUAAGAGGAACUGUUUCUGUUCCAGACCUGCUGCUUAGUUCUUUAUGAGGAGAAAAGCAGUUGUUAGAAAAAUUGACGUAGUAUUUGCAUUACUAGUGAACAAAGGCUAAGUGUGAUGUAUGACUAUUGACCUCAAAGUUAACAAAUCCUGAAGGUCACCUUGUAAAAUCAGUACAGACUUUAUAUUGCUAAAAUAUUUAUGGUUAAAGAAGAACAGAGUUGUUGUUUACCUUGUUUAUCUUCCACAGUGACAUUAAGAUGGAGAAUUUUUGUUCUUCCAGGAGUUGUACACUGACAGCUGUAGCUCCCACUGUCCUCUGAUGUUAAAUUGAUCAGGUGGAGAAACACAGUCUGAUUUUCUUUCAUCAGUGUGAACCUGGAGUCACAUUUGUUCUCAAAGCCUCGUGCAUAUUCAUACAGCAGACUACAAUUUUCUCCUCUGCUUCUCUGAGUUCUGAUCGUACAAACUAUCAGUGUGAUGAUAGUCUGUGCUCCAUUGGUGCAUAUUUGAGUGACAUCUGGUUGCUUCCCAAUUGUUUUCACAACAGCAUCUGAAAUCAGUAACAAUAAUACGCACAGUAUCAAUGAUUUAAACCAGAGGCUGGAGUAUUAUUAAAAAAUAAAUGUUACAUUAUGAAAACAGUUUUUA